rnacentral:rRNA from 1 species
AGAGUUUGAUCCUGGCUCAGGAUGAACGCUAGCUACAGGCUUAACACAUGCAAGUCGAGGGGCAGCAUGUCGGUUGCUUGCAACCGAUGAUGGCGACCGGCGCACGGGUGAGUAACGCGUAUCCAACCUACCCUUGUCCAUCGGAUAACCCGUCGAAAGGCGGCCUAACACGAUAUGCGGUUCUCAGCAGGCAUCUAACGAGAACGAAAUGUGAAGGAGAAGGAUGGGGAUGCGUCUGAUUAGCUUGUUGGCGGGGUAACGGCCCACCAAGGCUACGAUCAGUAGGGGUUCUGAGAGGAAGGUCCCCCACAUUGGAACUGAGACACGGUCCAAACUCCUACGGGAGGCAGCAGUGAGGAAUAUUGGUCAAUGGACGGGAGUCUGAACCAGCCAAGUAGCGUGCAGGACGACGGCCCUAUGGGUUGUAAACUGCUUUUAUAGGGGGAUAAAGUGUGCCACGUGUGGCAUAUUGCAGGUACCCUAUGAAUAAGGACCGGCUAAUUCCGUGCCAGCAGCCGCGGUAAUACGGAAGGUCCGGGCGUUAUCCGGAUUUAUUGGGUUUAAAGGGAGCGUAGGCCGCGGCGUAAGUCAGUUGUGAAAUCGUGCGGCUUAACCGUGCAAUUGCAGUUGAUACUGCGUCGCUUGAGUGCACACAGGGAUGUUGGAAUUCAUGGUGUAGCGGUGAAAUGCUUAGAUAUCAUGAAGAACUCCGAUCGCGAAGGCAUAUGUCCGGAGUGCAACUGACGCUGAGGCUCGAAAGUGUGGGUAUCAAACAGGAUUAGAUACCCUGGUAGUCCACACAGUAAACGAUGAAUACUCGCGGUUGGUUCGUUAGAUUCAGCCGCCAAGCGAAAGCGUUAAGUAUUCCACCUGGGGAGUACGCCGGCAACGGUGAAACUCAAAGGAAUUGACGGGGGCCCGCACAAGCGGAGGAACAUGUGGUUUAAUUCGAUGAUACGCGAGGAACCUUACCCGGGCUUGAACUGCCAGUGACUCAUGCAGAGACGCAUGUUUCUUCGGACACUGGCGGAGGUGCUGCAUGGUUGUCGUCAGCUCGUGCCGUGAGGUGUCGGCUUAAGUGCCAUAACGAGCGCAACCCUUCUCCCUGUUUGCCAUCGGGUCAUGCCGGGCACUCCAGGGACACUGCCAUCGUAAGAUGUGAGGAAGGUGGGGAUGACGUCAAAUCAGCACGGCCCUUACGUCCGGGGCUACACACGUGUUACAAUGGGCGGUACAGAAAGCAGCUACCCCGCGAGGGGAUGCCAAUCUCAAAAACCGUUCUCAGUUCGGACUGGAGUCUGCAACCCGACUCCACGAAGCUGGAUUCGCUAGUAAUCGCGCAUCAGCCAUGGCGCGGUGAAUACGUUCCCGGGCCUUGCACACACCGCCCGU